AAGCCCAAUGUGAGGCUCAAACUCAUGAGCCAAGACAUCAUGACUUGAGCCAAAGUCGGAUGCUCAACUGACUGAGCCAUCCAGGUGCUCUGAUAGCUCAUUUCUCUUGAGUGCUGAAUCAUAUUCUAACAUGUGGACAUACUACCUUCUCUUAGCCUCAGUCUACAGGGCUCUGGGUAGCGGAGGCUGAGAGAAUUUGUAAUAAUGAUAAGCAUGAAUGUUCUAAGUGCUCAAUACCACCCACUCUGCUGAAUGCCUCUUUCUGCCCUACGUUACCUCAUCCUUCCUAAAACUUGUCACAUAGGUCUUAGGAACAACCGCCCGCCCCUUCCCGUACAGAUGAAGACACUAAAGCUUAGGGGGAGAUAAAUCAUUGGUCAAGGCCACAGAUCCAGGAAGGGAACGGUCUGGAAUUCGAACCCAAAUGUUCUGACUCCAGGUUUUAGUAUUGAAGCUAUAACCUUCCAGGAAGAUUCUUGCCAGUGUUUGGCACAUAGAGAAAAACGUGUCACCAAACUUAUUAUUGUUACAAUUUUUGCAGCAGAGCCAUUUAAAUUGGAAGGUCACGAUUCUUUUCUAAAGGGAAAUAUGAGGCACUGUUGGGGGUGGGGGGGUCAGAAACUUCCUCAUGCCUCACAAGCCUGGAACCAGAAUUAAAAGCCAGGGUUAAUGGAGGCUCUGAGUUGCUCCGAAGAGAGUACUGGUGGGUUUUUUUAAGGUAUCAUCUCCUGAGCACUUACAGAUAGGUUAUCCCAUCCAAUGCUACAACAACCCAUUUUAGGAAACAGAAGAGCCCAGGAGACUCAGCUCUGCUCAUCAUCCACCCCUGAAGCUUCUCCUGUGUUUUCUGCCCCACCCCGCCCCCACCUCCCCGCUCCCCACCACAGCCUGGCCAACAUUUGCAGCUCCGGGCGUGCGUCACGGCACAGAGGCAGCCCGGGAACGUCUGGGUCUGACCGGUGUCUGGCCUGAGGUGUGGGUGCCUUGGCAGCCGGCUCCAGCUCUUCCUCAUCUUCCUGGGUCAUAGCUUUACCUG